UCCAAAGAUGAGAGUUACUGGGUCUGCCUCCUGCACCAGGUGAGCUUUGAUUUUUUGCAGGAGGCAGGGAGUGUCCUGGGACAGAAUACAGCUGUGCUUUCUUCUGCCCAGCCACCUGCAGGUGUGCAGCUACUUGCCCCAGCCUUUCCACUAUCACAAAAGAGAAGGCAACACAGUUAAGAGAGACACAGACGGCUCUUCCUUUUACCUGAGGCAGCUCAGACGAAAGAGAAAUUCAGUCUGGAGUUGAUAAGACAACAGGACUUUUUUCAUAUUCUUCACUGCACGUAGGUUGAGGUCAUGCCACCAGGCUAUGUAGCCCUUCCUUCGAAAUAAUCAAGAAAGAACAUUUGCUGUCUUUGGACCAAAUCUUGAGGCCUUACUCAGGCAAAUGCCGGCUUAAUAAUUAGUGAUCUCUCCAGCAGGAGGAAUAUCCGACCGACUGCGGGGCACGAACAGCUCGACAUGAUGCAGCCAAACCACAGUGUCAAAUGUCAUGGGAAGUGCUCGCUUUCAGUCCACGUGCUCUCAGUUCAGCGGCAAUGAAGACUUGCAGUGUACCCGCUGUGUAACCUGCGAAGUCUUGAAAAUUCAGCAUUCAGUUACAGACUUAGCGUGUGGACUUGUGACGUUAGGAUUCCCAAUACCUCAACUGGAAGAAAAGAGAUUGGAGGUGGCAGUGGAAGGGACAGGGCACAAGAAAGAAAAGGAAAGGAACGCGGACGCUCGCACACAACUUCUUACAAUGGCUCUAGCAUGCCCUUCCAUUGGUUUCAAAGGCAGGGUUGCAGGGAAGAUGGAAGCCAAGACCUCUGUGCAGAAGAAGCAGAGCUUUCCCCAAACUGGGAUGGCAAGAGUUGAAAGAAAGUUUAGCCUUGAGAGCAGCUGCCAAAAUCAAAACCUUGUUCAAAGUUUAUUUGAUGUGAAUCGCAGGAGGUGUGACUACUGGGAUUUGCAUCCAAGCAGGAACCCUGCAGAAUUCUUCAAAUCCUGGUGACAAAGAAAACAAACUGAACGAACAGCACAUGGCCUUUAAAGAUGUCCUCGUCUGGUGUUCCUGGUGGAUUUGAGAUGAUAAAGGACCGAAUAUUUUCCAGCACGGCACCUACAAGAAAACCUGAGCGAGAGCACCAGACAAAGCCGUUUGACACAGCCCACCCCAGGAUGACUCAGGAAAUCCCUAAUCCAAAGCCUGGAGAACGCUCUGGGAUGCUCAGCACAGCCAAGGGGCAAGAAGUCCCUGUCUGCCUCCUGCUUUCCCUGAUGCUGGAGAGGAGAGGAGCUGUGCUGGGACUCCAGACACUGCAGUGUGACAGCUAAACCAAGGAGCAUCGGAUGCGAUGGAAUUGCUCUACAAGCAACCUUGCCAAAGGCCCUUUCGCUGCACAAAGCUGGCUCUAUCUUUGUAUAUUGAGGGAGCUAAAUCAAUGUUAAAUGCUUGGCUCUUUUCACAGGACAAUGACCAGGACCUAAGCUGCGUCCUUCCUUUUUGAUUGACACUUGAAACGUUGAGUUGGAAUCAGCCAGAGGCACUGCUACAAGCUUGAAGCCUCUGCUGGGGAUAACAACUGGUGACAUCUGCAGAAAGGCCGACAAAAGGCAGUUGAAAGCCGUGUUUGUUGCUUUCCCCUCUCAGAUCUCCUCUCUUUCAUGGAGCUCCUUACUUGCUUUAAUAUUAUGAUUCAGCACCUGGCUCUUUUGAACCUUGCUUUAAACUUCAAAAGGCGAGGUGGUAUUAACAAACAUGAAACGAAAAAGUGGCAGUAGUUUGAUUUACUGUUGUCGUCUUAUCAAGGGGGUUUUUUGUCACCAGCUGCCACUUUCUGUCAUCUUUGGAACCAUUAUCAUUUCUCUAAAAUCUAAAAGACUCCACUUAAUAACAGCUUUGAAUACAGGCAGGAUCAGUAACGUAUACAGUUCUGGGAUGACAGGGCCGUCAAAUGAAAAGAAAGAUGUUGCCAAAAAAAAAAUCCUUAAAAAAACAAUAAAACAAAUAAAAGCUGUAGUACUUCUAAGUGACCUUGAUUUCAGAAUUAAACAAAUCAAGCACAA